rnacentral:rRNA from 1 species
AACAGGAUUAGAUACCCUGGUAGUCCACGCCGUAAACGAUGUCUACUAGCUGUUCGUGGUCUUGUACUGUGAGUAGCGCAGCUAACGCACUAAGUAGACCGCCUGGGGAGUACGGUCGCAAGAUUAAAACUCAAAUGAAUUGACGGGGGCCCGCACAAGCGGUGGAGCAUGUGGUUUAAUUCGACGCAACGCGAAGAACCUUACCUACUCUUGACAUCUACAGAAGAUUGCAGAGAUGCGAUUGUGCCUUCGGGAACUGUAAGACAGGUGCUGCAUGGCUGUCGUCAGCUCGUGUUGUGAAAUGUUGGGUUAAGUCCCGCAACGAGCGCAGCCCUUAUCCUUAGUUGCCAGCACGUAAUGGUGGGAACUCUAGGGAGACUGCCGGUGAUAAACCGGAGGAAGGUGGGGACGACGUCAAGUCAUCAUGGCCCUUACGAGUAGGGCUACACACGUGCUACAAUGGUACGUACAGAGGGAGGCAAGCUGGCGACAGUGAGCGGAUCUCAUAAAGCGUAUCGUAGUCCGGAUUGGAGUCUGCAACUCGACUCCAUGAAGUCGGAAUCGCUAGUAAUCGUGAAUCAGAAUGUCACGGUGAAUACGUUUCCCGGGCCUUUGUACACACCGCCCCGUCACACCAUGGGGAGUGGGUUGCAAAAGAAGUGGGUAGCUUUAACCUUCGGGAGGGCGGCUUAUCCACCUUUGUGAUUCAAUGUACUGGGGUGAAGUCGUAACAAGGUUAACC